AUUGAACGCUGGCGGCAUGCCUUACACAUGCAAGUCGAACGGCAGCACGGGAGCAAUCCUGGUGGCGGGUGGCGAACGGGUGAGUAAAGUAUCGGAACGUGCCCAGUGGUGGGGGAUAACGUAGCGAAAGUUACGCUAAUACCGCAUACGCUCGAUGGAUGACAGCGGGGGAUCGCAAGACCUCGUGCGAAUGGAGCGGCCGAAAUCAGAUUAGGUAGUUGGUGGGGUAAAGGCUCACCAAGCCGACAAUCUGUAGCUGGUCUGAGAGGACGACCAGCCACACGGGGACUGAGACACGGCCCAGACUCCUACGGGAGGCAUCAGUGGGGAAUUUUGGACAAUGGGCGAAAGCCUGAUCCAGCCAUGCCGCGUGCAGGAUGAAGGCCUUCGGGUUGUAAACUGCUUUUGUACGGAACGAAAAGGUUUGGCCUAAUAAGCUGAGCUCAUGACGGUACCGUAAGAAUAAGCACCGGCUAACUACGUGCCAGCAGCCGCAGUAA
rnacentral:rRNA from 1 species